rnacentral:rRNA from 1 species
GACGAACGCUGGCGGCGUGCUUAACACAUGCAAGUCGAACGGAAAGGCCCUGCUUUUGUGGGGUGCUCGAGUGGCGAACGGGUGAGUAACACGUGAGUAACCUGCCCUUGACUUUGGGAUACUUCAGGAAACUGGGGCUAAUACCGGAUAGGAGCUCCUGCUGCAUGGUGGGGGUUGGAAAGUUUCGGCGGUUGGGGAUGGACUCGCGGCUUAUCAGCUUGUUGGUGGGGUAGUGGCUUACCAAGGCUUUGACGGGUAGCCGGCCUGAGAGGGUGACCGGCCACAUUGGGACUGAGAUACGGCCCAGACUCCUACGGGAGGCAGCAGUGGGGAAUAUUGCACAAUGGGCGGAAGUCUGAUGCAGCAACGCCGCGUGCGGGAUGACGGCCUUCGGGUUGUAAACCGCUUUCGCCUGUGACGAAGCGUGAGUGACGGUAAUGGGUAAAGAAGCACCGGCUAACUACGUG